AGGCGUAUGCGAUCUAAAACUGGAGUGAGAUUUUGUUUGGAAGAUCGGCGAAGUUUGAUUUGCUGGGGGGAAGGACAAUAUUAGGAACGCUGUGACAGAGGUUAGUCUUGGUGCGGAACCUGUGGAACUGCGAAAGAUUGCAGGAUGCAAAAGUGUUGUUCUGGCUACUCCCCCAGGAAAAGAUGGCAGCAUCUGCAAGGUUUUUAAUGUUCUCUCUCUCUUUAGGAGGUGCUUUUCCAUGAAUACAGGCCAUUUCAGCCAUGGCGUGGGGGACUUCAUCUUUCCCUUAGGUGGAUAAAUUUUUUGGACCUGGAAAUCAGUAAGUCACAGCUGCAAAAAUGUUUUUUCAGAACAGUGAAGCGAUGGUUUCAAUUGACAUGCCUGCUGGCCCAUCUGAAGUUCUGGUUGUUGCUUAGAGGGGAAAAUCGUUCUAUAGCCCCAGAACAAGAGAAAUCUGAUCUAUGAAGAUCUUUUAAAAGCAGGUUGACAAGGAAAUAAUUAUCCCAUAAAAGCGUUUUAGCUCUGAAAGAUACUCUAAAAAGGUGGUCUAGAUACUCUGGGAGUGCUCGAUAUUAUACUUAAGCAGCAAGCUCCUGAGAGGGGCUGUCUUCUAAUUAGACAAUCUUUAUAUCUUGGUGAAGCAAGGAUCUUUGUUUCCGUUGGUGGAGGCAUUACUGAAGUUCGAAGGUUCCGUUCUAGUUUCCAUACCGCACAGAGUGGUUUAACCUUGACCAAGGGGUCAGAAUUCUAUGCUAGCUAUUGAACAAGUACCAGGUUAUUAGUUCUGGAAGUUGGCCCUUGAUUUCAAGGUACAGGGCAUGUUUACGUACUCAAUCCCUGGGAGAGGACAUGACCCUAAGAAGGAAAUUGUUCCCAACUUGCAGGGUUGUGAAGGCUUGCUGCAGAAGAAGGCGUACAAAAUACUCUCCAUUAGUCUCGAGGUUGUCAUGGAUUGUGCAAGUCUUUGACUUUUCAGAUUUAACAUCAUUCUCCAGUGUUAGUGGUUGACAUUAUUUGCUUCAUCUUACUUGUAGUGCUUCAGGGAAUAGUCUAAAUGAUCUUGUUUUGAUGUUAAGGAUCUGUGUUUUGGUACCCUUGAUUUGAGUUAAACAAGUAGACUCUGCAGAAAUGUGUAAUUUUUUCAUUUUCUUGUUCAGAAAUGAAUUUGAUUCAGACGGCAAUGGAAUAUAGUUUUUCUAUUA